rnacentral:rRNA from 1 species
UACGGGGGGGGCAAGCGUUGUUCGGAAUUACUGGGCGUAAAGGGCUCGUAGGCGGCCAACUAAGUCAGAUGUGAAAUACCCGAGCUUAACUUGGGUGCUGCAUUUGAAACUGGAUAUCUGGAGUGCAGGAGAGGAAAGUGGAAUUCCUAGUGUAGCGGUGAAAUGCGUAGAGAUUAGGAAGAACACCAGUGGCGAAGGCGACUUUCUGGACUGUAACUGACGCUGAGGCUCGAAAGCGUGGGGAGCAAACAGG